UCUCAUUCUCCUCACCUUCUUUAACCUCCCUUCUCUUCCAUCGUAUCACCACCGUUGUUGUCAUGCCUAAUCGUUUCUCGCUAGUCAGCCGACCACUAUCAGUUUCAAUGGUCAGCCGUCCUAAAAAGGGUGCAGCUCUUGUUGCUGCUCCUGGUGUUGGUGGUGUUGUCGGUAUCGGUGGUGAUGUGUGGUUCCCCGGAAAAGCUAGUGGGUCGGACACCUAAAGUUGUUUGGUGUUGUUGUUAAUCCUUAGAAAAGGCGGGAGGCCUAAGAAAAAUACAAAUGUUUCAUGGGCAGUAGCUCAAGCAUUGCAACUGCAAUCGGAAGCAUACGGAGAUCUUAAGAUGAAGUUUGGACUUUUUAAAAUCAAAAGUAAGGCCUAAGUUAACCAAUGAAACACCAACCAGUGUAGCAGCUGCAUCCAAGAGUUAGAAGGGCUUGCAUCAAUGGGCAUUAAUGCAACAUUAAGAGAGGAAGCUCAACCACCACAACCUAAAUCGCAACCACCAUUUAUCCAGAAUUAGGAAAAAUGCAUGAAGGAAUAAUAAGAUCAUUAAUUGAAAUGCAACGUUAACGGGCUUCAUUUUCAUGAUCAAAGAAUUGUUAGAUAUACUCUGAACCAUGAUAGAUGGGGAAAAUUGAGAAAGUCUAUAAAGAGAUUCAAGGACUAAUUGUUGAUGUUGAUGUGAGGGAGAGGAUGUAGUUUAAUAUUUGAUCAAUUGUGAAUGGUCAUAGAUUCUAUUUUUGUCUAUACUGAAUUCAAAGUUUCAUUAGUCUUGAGUACACAAUUUGAAUUUCUUGAACAUGAGUAGCAACUCAAGUCUUAUUUGUAAGAUUGGUCAUUAAGCAAAAGUUGGUUGUGUACUUGCAUGAAUGCCAAGCUAACAGUAGAGUUUCAUAUGCUUUUGGUAAUUCUCUUUAGAUGCAGGAUCUUGAACUGUACAGUGAAGCUCACAUUUUGAGUUGAAUUCUUGAAGAGGACAGUAAAAAAGAGCAGGUGCUGCUGUUUUGUUAAAAAAAUAGUUAAAAGAGCUAAGAGUGGAAACUUCAUUCCUUUUGGCUCUAAGAGAAGGAUAAAGAUUUGAAGUCUCUAGAAAACAACGAGAAAGAAGAUGAGUUGCUUUGGAUAUUGUUAUUAGAGGAAUUGAAAUUUUGUAGUUGAAUGAACAAAAUGUUGCUG
rnacentral:lncRNA from 1 species